CUCGUAGGCGGCCAACUAAGUCGGACGUGAAAUCCCUCGGCUUAACCGGGGAACUGCGUCCGAUACUGGAUGGCUUGAGAUUGGGAGAGGGAUGCGGAAUUCCAGGUGUAGCGGUGAAAUGCGUAGAUAUCUGGAGGAACACCGGUGGCGAAGGCGGCAUCCUGGACCAACACUGACGCUGAUGAGCGAAAGCCAGGGGGGCAAACG
rnacentral:rRNA from 1 species